CACGUAGGAGGCAAACGUUAUCCGGAUUUACUGGGCGUAAAGCGCGUGUAGGUGGUUCUGUAAGUAGGGCGUGAAAGCUCCCGGCUCAACUGGGAGAGGCCGUUCUAAACUGCAGAGCUAGAGGAUGGUAGAGGGAGGUGGAAUUCCAGGUGUAGCGGUGGAAUGCGCAGAUAUCUGGAGGAACACCAGUGGCGAAAGCGGCCUCCUGGACCAUUCCUGACACUCAGACGCGAAAGCUAGGGUAGCAAACGGGAUUAGAUACCCGCGUAGUCCCU
rnacentral:rRNA from 1 species